GAGUGAACGUUGGCGGUAGGCCUAACACAUGCAAGUCGAACGGCAGCACAGUAAGAGCUUGCUCUUACGGGUGGCGAGUGGCGGACGGGUGAGGAAUACAUCGGAAUCUACUUUUUCGUGGGGGAUAACGUAGGGAAACUUACGCUAAUACCGCAUACGACCUACGGGUGAAAGCAGGGGAUCUUCGGACCUUGCGCGAUUGAAUGAGCCGAUGUCGGAUUAGCUAGUUGGCGGGGUAAAGGCCCACCAAGGCGACGAUCCGUAGCUGGUCUGAGAGGAUGAUCAGCCACACUGGAACUGAGACACGGUCCAGACUCCUACGGGAGGCAGCAGUGGGGAAUAUUGGACAAUGGGCGCAAGCCUGAUCCAGCCAUACCGCGUGGGUGAAGAAGGCCUUCGGGUUGUAAAGCCCUUUUGUUGGGAAAGAAAAGCAGCAGGUUAAUACCCCGCUGUUCUGACGGUACCCAAAGAAUAAGCACCGGCUAACUUCGUG
rnacentral:rRNA from 1 species